CUUUUUGGACCCAAUUAUUUUGAUGCCAUAGUAAAGGGAAGGUGGAGGAGUGAAUGCGGGACAGAGGAGUAGAGCCUGGUUGCUUUUCCAAAAUCACCUUUGGAGAUGGAUCUUUGGCUGCUUCAUCCUGGGAUGAAGAGAAACUAUCCCAGCAACCCAACUGAAAAUUCUGAAAGCAGCUUAAAUCUAAUUGGCUCCCCUAGGAUCUGAGCUCCUGUUACAUUUGUGGUGUUUCUUUUUUUGAGAGGCAUCUGGAGAGACUGAACUGCCAUUGCUAGUUGGCAUGCAGGUUGCAGCUGCAUUGACACUCCGUGUGAUCAAAUAGCAGAUGUGGAGGCGCAGUUCUGUUAUCCCUGCCACCUUGCACCAGAAGCCGACUUCUGAGUCGAUGCUUCUCCUGUUUGAUGUUUGCCCUUUCUCCUUGUCUACAGGUCCUUUGCAGCCAGCAUGAUAACGUAUUUAUAACACGUGGAGGAGAGAGAGCUCACCAUGCUCAGGUUACAGUGAAAUCAAAGCUUUCAAGAAGAAAACCGAGGUCUGUAAGCCAAAGCAGAAGGGAUGCAGGAGAAGAGAAAACAGGAAAUAACUGGUCAAUUGAUUAAUGAAGCUGUCCUAGUGACAGAAAUGGCCAGAGGAGUCUCUGACUUUCUUCCAAAGGCACCCUGACAUGUUUGCUGAGGACAACUCUUCAUUGUCAAAAGCUGAAAUUUUAAUGGGUGUUCUUAACAUAAGUCAUUCUCCAUGGACAGUGUGCUAUGUGCUGGCUGCUGUGGAAGGCUUCAUGCAUAUCAGGAAAGGGGAAACAUGGUUUGUGCACCAUCCUUUUGAGGCAAAGCAUUUAUCUGACACCUUUGAUCAAAAUAUUGUGGCUGGAGCUAUAUACUAUCCAACUUAACUCAAGUUUAUAAUUAGUAGUUUCAACUGUCAAAGAAUUGAAAAAAGAGAGUUAUUCUAUCACAAAGAAAGAUCCAUCACCUAGGGAUGUUUUUAAUAUUGUGUUUUGAAAGUAUGACAGAUCAGCAUUUUUAUGGUAGUGGAGCGUUUUCUGUGCUUUUUAGAGACCCAAAGUAAACACUUUUAAAUGUCAGAAAGCUCUAAAAUCCAAACAGGCUGUAGUCUCUUUAGAGAGCAGACCGGCUAGAUUUCACAAAUUGAAAGAUCCUGCCAUAAAAUUUAUUGUAAACAAGAAGCCUGGA
rnacentral:lncRNA from 1 species